UGUACUGGGGAGCUUUUGAUUGCCUUCAAAAAGAACUGGCAGAAAUGCCCUCACAAACCAGACAGACCUUCCCUGUUUGCCAGGGUAUGUAUUCCCCUCCACCCCUCCUGAUCUGUCCUCAGCUUUGCUGACCUCUACAAGGCACACUUGUAGAUGGCAACUGAUGCUUAUCCUCAUGCUGCUUUUUUUCCUGUGCCUGAAUCAUCACUCAGAAGAAGCCCAUGAUGAGGUUUCAGCAGUCGUAGCAGCCUCAGGUGGACCAGCUUUGAAAAAGGGAGAAGAGAGUCCUCAGGCCAGGCCUACUGGUGCCAAUGACCAGUCAUUCUCAAGAAAUCCUCUGGCACGUUCCCACUCCUUCUGCCACAUCUCCAAGUACAACAGUGCUGAGAUAUCUGGAGACAACAGGGAUUCAACAGUGAAAGAAAGAAAGAAAAAGAGAAGGAAGAAUGUGUCCACCAGACUCAUGAUGAAAUGGAAGAGAGUGAAGAGCUCACCAAGCCAUCUUCAAAAAGCUUGA
rnacentral:lncRNA from 1 species